CCGACCAAUGGCGACGGGGCUCGCCGAUACCCGCCCGGUCCAGGCAGAUAGCUCCUACCGGCAG
rnacentral:ncRNA from 1 species